ensembl:lncRNA
CACACAGAGAGCCAGGCCAAGAAAGCCCUGCGUACCCUGAGCCAUAGUUGUGAGACAGUCGGGAGGUGAGCUGGGGCAUGACGGGGCUGGAGACCGCCGGGGGCCAGGCCCACCCACACUGCAGGUUGCUGUGCUCAGCGAAUUGUGCUCAGUGGGUGCCUGGUCCGGAAUAAGGAUGAUCCCGCAAACAUCCGUCAGAGAGGUGCUGGCCGCUGCCUUGGGGAGCCUUAGCCUGCGGUGUCAGGCCCGCCCCAGCCUUGGGCAGAGACCCAGGCUGCCCCGAGGGCACUGCUGCAGCCUGGAUUGCUGAUGUGUCCCCACUGUGGCCCAUGCACUGGAGCAGGUUGCAGGCUUCAUGAUAAUAAGUGUAGGUAAUGUGUCAAGUAACAAUGAUACAUUUAAUGGUUUUUAUUAGAAAUCAUAUGAGUAAAAAUGAGUUAUAGCCAUCAUUUCCGAAGCACUGUGCAGCACACUUGUUCUAACUGAGCACCCAUGGGUGUGGGGCAUUGGUCUUGUCCUUUGUCCUCCUUGGUCCCUCGCGAAGGGUCCCCACCCCGGGAAUCCUGGGAGCCUGAGGAGUGAGGACCGGACGGAGGCUGUUCCGGUGUGGAUCUGGCUCGUCUCUGCUGUCCCAGAUCCACGCAGCCCUGAAGGGAACUGAGCCUCCGAGCCUGCAAGUGUAAAGGUAUGGGCUAGGCGGGAUGCUGGUUCGAGAGAGCAGAACCAAAAAUACUGCUUCUGUCUUCCGCUCCAGAAUGGAUUUGGGAUCAAGUCAAGCAAAUGAGGGUCGGGCACCAGAUUGGCAGACAUCGAAGUGCUGCGUGUCCUCCUCCCUGCAGCACGUGCAGAGCUGGCUCGAUGCACCAGUGAGGGUGGGCUGUGCUGAGCUCAGUGACAGGCAGGUCCAGGAACCCCAGGGCCUUAGCACUAGCCAUCUGUCUACUCCUGGCUUCUGAAAGCGCAGGGCAGUGGACGGGACUGGGCUGUUCAGCCUGAUUGGUUACUCAGGGUCCAGAGCUGCGGCCUCUACAGCAAGAUUCCAGGGGGUGGGGGACAGAGGAGAUGCCCCUGUCCUCAUCUGCUCCACCUGGGUGACACACUGUCAGGCCACCCUGGGAGGAGGGGCUGGAAUGCGCAGAGCUAGCACACAGAGCCGAGGGGCCUUCCUCUGGCUUCCUCAGCAGUUGUCAGUGCAGGAGUCCUCUGCUCCUCUCCUGGGAAGAUGGCGCUGCUCCCACAGCUUCUGGGAGGGGAACUAGAGCCCUCUCUGCCUGGGCUCUGGAGUGUGCUUCACCUACAGGCUGCAGACUGCAGGCUACCAUGGAUGAGGCCGCCCAGCUGUGCCCACCCCUCGGGAGCAACGCGGUGUGAGGGCUCCUUUCGUGCUAGCAGUCAGGCAUUGAGGAGGCCCCGUUCUGCCCCUCACUGAUGGUGUCCCCGGGACCUGCUUGCAUCCCUGAACCCCGACCUCUCAGCUCUGCAGUGAGGGCUGCAGCUGUGCACACGUUGCUUCGGGGAACAGGAAGCUGGGUCUGUACGCGUGUGCACCGCCGUGGUGUCAUCACCUCUCGUCCCUGGUGCAAACUCUGUCUCAUGGGACUCCAGCUGUAGUGGCUUCCAAGCCCAAGAUCCAGCAGCCCGCUCCCUACCCUGGAACCUGAGCAUCAUGCGCCUCACUUCAGGCCCAUGAGGCCAAGCAGCUGCCCUUUCGUCCUGACCCCCGUGUCCCUUCCUCUCCACCCUCUGCUUUUACCCAAGUUCUGCAGGCUCUGGGGGCCACUUGUUUCCCCCCAGAACCCUGGGGCAAGCACCUCCCCACUUUUAUCUUGGGAACCAAAAGCCCCGGCCUCUUUCAGGGGCAGCAUUUCCUUUCUGCUGGGCUGGAGAGACUGUGCCCGGGACCCCCCAUCCCUGAGCUGCUACAGCUUCAGUGCCCGGGCUGAGAGCCAGG